ensembl:lncRNA
GGCGUCUCCUGAAAGUUCGACCACGGGGCAGGGGAUUCCAGUACCUGGUUGACUGGGAGGGUUCUGGCCUGGAGGAGAGGUGCUGGGUCCCCUCUAGGGACAUCCUGGACCCAACCCUCAUUGCUGAUUUCCAAUGCAGGCACCCCAGUCAACCAGGUAGGCAUCCAGGUAAAUCUCAGUUGAGCUGUCACUCCUCCAUCUUGGUUGUGAAGCAGGAGAAGCUCCAAGGCUCCCCGGAGAGCUAAAUAACAUAUAAAACAUCAAAGAGGAAUGAGACAGAUAAUCUAUUAAUGUGGAGGCUGUAAGACUGGCUGGCUGGUUGGCUGGGCUGGCUGGCUGCUGCAAUUUAAGCC